AACACAAGGAAAUCCUAAAUAAAUAUAAAAGAAUAUUAAAGAAAACUUAAUCAAACCCUAACAAAAAUCUAAUAGAACCUUAAAUUCUAACCAAAUCCUAGACAAACCUUAAAUUCUAAACCAAAUCCUAAUCAAACCUUAAUCCCUAACUAAAUAUUAAUCCAAAUCCUAAACUCUAAAUCCUAAACCAAAUCCUAAUCCAAAUCCUAAAUCCUAAAUCAAACUCUAAUCAAAUCUUAAACCCUAAACCAAAUCCUAAUCCAAAUCC
rnacentral:lncRNA from 1 species